rnacentral:tRNA from 1 species
GGUGAGAUGGCCGAGUUGGUCUAAGGCGUUGGACUUAAGUUCCAAUCUCGAAAGAGGCGUGGGUUCGAACCCCACUCUCACCA